rnacentral:rRNA from 1 species
AUUGAACGCUGGCGGCAGGCUUAACACAUGCAAGUCGAGCGGAGAUGAGGUGCUUGCACCUUAUCUUAGCGGCGGACGGGUGAGUAAUGCUUAGGAAUCUGCCUAUUAGUGGGGGACAACAUUCCGAAAGGAAUGCUAAUACCGCAUACGCCCUACGGGGGACAGCAGGGGAUCUUCGGACCUUGCGCUAAUAGAUGAGCCUAAGUCGGAUUAGCUAGUUGGUGGGGUAAAGGCCUACCAGGGCGACGAUCUGUAGCGGGUCUGAGAGGAUGAUCCGCCACACUGGGACUGAGACACGGCCCAGACUCCUACGGGAGGCAGCAGUGGGGAAUAUUGGACAAUGGGCGGAAGCCUGAUCCAGCCAUGCCGCGUGUGUGAAGAAGGCCUUUUGGUUGUAAAGCACUUUAAGCGAGGAGGAGGCUACCUGGAUUAAUACUCUAGGAUAGUGGACGUUACUCGCAGAAUAAGCACCGGCUAACUCUGAGCCAGCCGCCGCGGUAAUAC